CGCCCUCUCUGGAGCUGUGGUGUGCAGCUGGCGUUGGUGGCACGAGUGUGCUGUGCACGAGACGACUGAGCCACUGACCAGAGGUUUCCUGAUGUUACCAGACUUGGUUGCGUCAUGUGAAGUUGUGGCCUUGGUCCGGAGAGGCACGACAUGGAAAGUCGCCCCACAACGAAGUCUGACAGUCAGCUGUCCUGUCAAACACUGUGGACGAACAUUAAAUAUCACCUGGUGUAAAGUCCUCCAGUCAAACUGUGAACAGCUGAAUAAAACAGAGAACGUAGAACUAAGACAGAAUCACAACCAAGCUAAUGAUCAACUAGUAUCUUAUUUGAGUUUCAAGCAGAUUUCCAUUUAUGAUGACGGUCUCUACAGAUGUAAGUUUAUAGGAGACAAACUUGGAGAAUUUAGUCAUUCCAUCAAGAUCUCAGUUUCAGACAAAUACCAGGGUGUUGAAAUGCCUAAAUUUGAAGCAGUCAAGAUAUCGAGCACUGAUGGUGAGGAUGAUUAUUCCUGGCUGCCGUAUUUCUGCAUCCCUGUGAGCAUAGUUCUCCUGAUUGUCACACUGACAGUGAUAACGAUGCUGAAAUUUUACGGCUGGAGGCGAAUACUGACCAUCAACCACACAAAAGGAGAGGAGAUGCCCACUCAUAUGAUACCAGACUUCCCCAAAUGGACCCAUUCUUUCUCUCCUGUCCUACGAAGCAGUGUCUGUACUGUGAAUGACAUCUACUCAUCAACUAGUCCAGAAACCCCAAAAUCGUCACCUGCCCUGUCACCCACUGGAGACCAGCCCGCUGUUUCAAACACAGCAGAUAAAAGCCAACCGUCAGCCUCUGCAGUGUACGCUGUCAUCAGUCAUAGGCAGACCGGGAUGGCUGCCAGAAAACAGAACACAGCGCCAACGGAAGAUAAAAACCCACAAUAUGCUGUCAUCAAAGUUCCCUGAAGGUUGUUGAAUUGACACAGACUCUCACAGAUGAAAUGAUGGAAAAAGUGUUGACAGGUAUGUGUUGGUGUCAUGGAACAAUGAGAUGGUUAGACAUCAGCCACGCUGCAGAAAGAGGCGAACGGAGGAGGCUUGUGGUCAUGUAGAUGCACGGUGUGUCAUCGUAAGUUAGCGUGAUAGAACAGAAGCAGGAAUGUAUUUAAUCUCUCAUGCUCAGAUUGGUCAAUUCCAGUCCUUUUCCAAUUCUGUUUUGUUUCUUUUAGUUUGCGUGACUUGGAUGGCUUUUUUGACUUUGGUGGUUCUUUAAAAAAAGCCAGUGGUUAGGUAGAUGUAUCAUGUACAGAUUUACUGAAUACACAUUGUACAUUUUCCUUCCUUCUUUGGUAUGAAAAUGGAACUUUGAGGCAGAUAUCCAUGUUGUAAAGAAAAGCAGCUUUGAUGUAUAAUCCUUGGCAGAGCCCUGAUUUAUUAGAUUAUAAAUUUUUUGCAUUCCUUUUGAGCUCAUUAUUUGAAUAUUUUCAAGAAAUGUCCCCAUAUACACUUUAUGCAUUCUAAACAUAUUUACAGUUUUUUUUAGUUCACACAUUUUGAGUCCCAUAUACAAACCUGAGUCUGUACGUCUAUGAUCCUCAGCACCUGGCCUGUUGACCACAUCAGUGUGGUUUUGCUUAAAUGUGUGCAGGAAGUUAAAGACGGAAACAUUUUUGAAGCUGCUAAACUCUGUGGUAUAGACCUCAUUUCCCUUAGCUUGUCAAACCUUCUCUAGUUACAUAAAAAUCAAAUAAGAGUGGUAUUUGUUGGCUAUUUAAAAGUACAACAAACUACAAGCAAAGAAGAGCAAUGACAGGAGAAAAACAAUGUGCCUAAACCAAUUUAAGAUAUAAUUUAAAAGAAUGAUAUGCUGACUGUAAGGUAGUAGUAAUUGUUUGGGGUUUUGACCCCUCCAAACAAAUUGAUAUCCACUUGCAACCCUUGUAAUGACUCAAGACAGAAUGAUUUUAUGAGGCAAUGCAAAAUGACAGCAUUUUACCACGAAAAGAAGCAGCAAUUUUUAAAGAAAAAUUUGAGAUAAAGAAG
ensembl:lncRNA